AAAAUUAUGUAGCCAAGGGUCCUUGUCGUGCCCUAAUUCUUCUCUCUAUUAUUUUCUGUUUUCUCAACUCGAUCUUACAAUGAACGCACCCGUACUCGUGCAUAUAUAUAUACACGACCAUGACCAGCUAUCCAACCGGCCAAACUAGUCCUACUCGGACACAAAGCCUAAACCUGCAUGGAAUAUAGCUUUUGGACUCCAAAAGCAUAUACGGACACGGCUAAACAACAGCCAUAACCUGGACUCCUAAUUUGACUACUACUAGGACUAUACCCAGGACAGCACGGACAUGUAUUGCUACAACGCAACCCUAAACAAGAUUAUCUAACAAUCUCUCCCUAAUCUUGACUCCUGUCUUCUGUGCUUCUCUAAUCUUGACUUGUUGAUGAUUCAUCCCUUGUCGACUUAUCCGCUCGCAUCACGACAAGUUAAAUUGACAGGCUUCAUUGAUCGCAAGAAUCUCUUCCCAAUUUCAACUUGGCGAAUUUACGGACCACCUCAAAUAUGCCUUGGACUACCCAGCCUCGCUAGUAACCUGUGGAAUACACCACCCGGUGGACUACACCAUCCACCCUAGCGAGAUACAUGCCGACUCCUUGUGGAUCACACACCACCACGUGGACUACACCGCCCACUCCAGCCUCAUGUAGAGACAUGGCCUCAUUGAAGAGACUCACCUUCACCGGUUUACCGCCCCCACAUACUUGACUUGAUCCUCCUGUCGAGACACAUAGACGACAUGAGCUUCAUCUUCAACACCUCCUCACAGAGAUGAGCACUUGGACAUAUCGACUCCAACACGAUCACGACAACCGACCGACCGUGCAAACCAGCACGACUCCUUGACUCCAACUCCCUUGGAGGAUGACGCUGAUGGCUUCUCGGCACCGCACCUCGGCACCAUCGCUCCCAUCAACGAUUUUCUUCCACCGCCUUGCCGACGACAACCCACUGUCCCUCCUUGCCGCUUCGCCGAACGACGAUCUCCUGAACCUCUUCACCCGUCGCUCCACGAACGACCAUUGCCCGCCGCUCCUCGUCGCUGCACCACCCAACGACCAUAUUGCCCGCCCCGAGGCGCUAGUCGGGUCGCCUCCCCGGGGCAAGCGCAGCUUCACCUCGACCUUGCUCUAGAUACCAAUUGUUAGAACUAGCUCACCGGAUCGUUCACAUCAAAUCACGACGAACACGCGCACACAAAAUUAUGUAGCCAAGGGUCCUUGUCGUGCCCUAAUUCUUCUCUCUAUUAUUUUCUGUUUUCUCAACUCGAUCUUACAAUGAACGCACCCGUACUCGUGCAUAUAUAUAUACACGACCAUGACCAGCUAUCCAACCGGCCAAACUAGUCCUACUCGGACACAAAGCCUAAACCUGCAUGGAAUAUAGCUUUUGGACUCCAAAAGCAUAUACGGACACGGCUAAACAACAGCCAUAACCUGGACUCCUAAUUUGACUACUACUAGGACUAUACCCAGGACAGCACGGACAUGUAUUGCUACAACGCAACCCUAAACAAGAUUAUCUAACAAACCUUAUGCCUGAUACAGCUUUCUAGCAUGCAAGUUACUCUAGUUAGUUCAU
rnacentral:lncRNA from 1 species